UACGUAGGGUGCAAGCGUUGUCCGGAAUUAUUGGGCGUAAAGAGCUCGUAGGCGGUCUGUCGCGUCGGAUGUGAAAAUCCAGGGCUCAACCCUGGACCUGCAUUCGAUACGGGGAGGCUAGAGUUCGGUAGGGGAGACUGGAAUUCCUGGUGUAGCGGUGAAAUGCGCAGAUAUCAGGAGGAACACCGGUGGCGAAGGCGGGUCUCUGGGCCGAUACUGACGCUGAGGAGCGAAAGCGUGGGGAGCGAACAGG
rnacentral:rRNA from 1 species